GACGAACGCUGGCGGCGUGCCUAAUACAUGCAAGUCGAACGCUUCUUUCCUCCCGAGUGCUUGCACUCAAUUGGAAAGAGGAGUGGCGGACGGGUGAGUAACACGUGGGUAACCUACCCAUCAGAGGGGGAUAACACUUGGAAACAGGUGCUAAUACCGCAUAACAGUUUAUGCCGCAUGGCAUAAGAGUGAAAGGCGCCUUCGGGUGUCGCUGAUGGAUGGACCCGCGGUGCAUUAGCUAGUUGGUGAGGUAACGGCUCACCAAGGCCACGAUGCAUAGCCGACCUGAGAGGGUGAUCGGCCACACUGGGACUGAGACACGGCCCAGACUCCUACGGGAGGCAGCAGUAGGGAAUCUUCGGCAAUGGACGAAAGUCUGACCGAGCAACGCCGCGUGAGUGAAGAAGGUUUUCGGAUCGUAAAACUCUGUUGUUAGAGAAGAACAAGGACGUUAGU
rnacentral:rRNA from 1 species